rnacentral:rRNA from 1 species
GGGCGUAAAGAGCUCGUAGGCGGUGUGUCGCGUCUGCUGUGAAAAUCCAAGGCUCAACCUUGGACCUGCAGUGGGUACGGGCACACUAGAGUGCGGUAGGGGAGAUAGGAAUUCCUGGUGUAGCGGUGGAAUGCGCAGAUAUCAGGAGGAACACCAAUGGCGAAGGCAGAUCUCUGGGCCGUAACUGACGCUGAGGAGCGAAAGCGUGGGGAGCGAACAGGAUUAGAUACCCUGGUAGUCCACGCCGUAAACGGUGGGAACUAGAUGUGGGGUCCGUUCCACGGACUCCGUGUCGCAGCUAACGCAUUAAGUUCCCCGCCUGGGGAGUACGGCCGCAAGGCUAAAACUCAAAGGAAUUGACGGGGGCCCGCACAAGCGGCGGAGCAUGCGGAUUAAUUCGAUGCAACGCGAAGAACCUUACCGAGGCUUGACAUAUAGAGGAAAAGUGCAGAAAUGUACUCCCCGCAAGGUCUCUAUACAGGUGGUGCAUGGUUGUCGUCAGCUCGUGUCGUGAGAUGUUGGGUUAAGUCCCGCAACGAGCGCAACCCUCGUCCUAUGUUGCCAGCACGUAAUGGUGGGAACUCAUGGGAGACUGCCGGGGUCAACUCGGAGGAAGGU